rnacentral:rRNA from 1 species
GACGUAGGGGGCAAGCGUUGUCCGGAAUCAUUGGGCGUAAAGCGCUCGUAGGUGGAUCGGUAAGUCUGCAAAGAAAGACCCGGGCUCAACUCGGGGAACGGUGUGGAUACUACCGAUCUUGAGGCAAUCAGAGGAUGAUGGAAUUCCCGGUGUAGCGGUGAAAUGCGUAGAUAAUCGGGAGGAACACCAGUGGCGAAGGCGAUCAUCUGGGGUUGUUCUGACACUGAGGAGCGAAAGCUAGGGGAGCAAACGGG